rnacentral:rRNA from 1 species
UACGUAGGGGGCUAGCGUUGUCCGGAAUCAUUGGGCGUAAAGCGCGCGUAGGCGGCCCGGUAAGUCCGCUGUAAAAGUCCAGGGCUCAACCCUGGAACGCCGGGUGGAUACUGUCGGGCUAGAGUCCGGAAGAGGCGAGUGGAAUUCCUGGUGUAGCGGUGGAAUGCGCAGAUAUCAGGAGGAACACCGAUGGCGAAGGCAGCUCGCUGGGACGUUACUGACGCUGAGACGCGAAAGCGUGGGGAGCGAACAGG